CCUACGGGAGGCUGCAGUGGGGAAUAUUGCACAAUGGGCGAAAGCCUGAUGCAGCAACGCCGCGUGAAGGAAGACGGUUUUCGGAUUGUAAACUUCUGUUCUUAGUGAAGAAUAAUGACGGUAACUAAGGAGCAAGCCACGGCUAACUCCGUGCCAGCAGCCGCGGUAAUACGGAGGAUGCGAGCGUUAUCCGGAUUUAUUGGGUUUAAAGGGUGCGUAGGCGGAAUAUCAAGUCAGCGGUAAAAAUUCGGGGCUCAACCCCGUCGUGCCGUUGAAACUGAUGUUCUUGAGUGGGCGAGAAGUAUGCGGAAUGCGUGGUGUAGCGGUGAAAUGCAUAGAUAUCACGCAGAACUCCGAUUGCGAAGGCAGCAUACCGGCGCCCAACUGACGCUGAAGCACGAAAGCGUGGGUAUCGAACAGGAUUAGAUACCCGUGUAGUC
rnacentral:rRNA from 1 species